GUUUAUGUAUUUGAGUUAGCAGUAAAUUAUCAGUAGGUUAGUAAGUGGCCUGGUGGAGAGGGGGAUAGUUCCAUAGUCUUAGGGUGGAGUGAGUUCGAUACACAUGUGUAGCACAUUUUUUAGUAUUUCAUUUUCUUUUAGCAUUUUACUUUUUUAGUAUUUUAUUGUCUUUUAGCAUUGUUGUUUCUUUUAAUAUUUUUUUUUAUGUCCAUG
rnacentral:lncRNA from 1 species